CUGCGCCCUCUCCCAUCUCACUAUCUCUCUCUCAGAAUUUCAUCCCUCUCUCUCAGCCCUAGGUCCCGCCGCCACAGCCACUUUGCGCCAUCGCCGGAGCCCGGCAGCUCCAUCGCGGCCAACCGCUGCAAUUUGUCGGCCGCCGCUGUCCAAGCCCCACGCCGCCGAUUCUCCUGUCUCUCUGACUCUCUUUCCCGGCGCAGCAGAUCAGUUCCGUCGCGUCUUGCGCCACCUCCAGGCUCCGGCGCUCAGCCUCUUCUCUUCUCACCGCCUCCGACUCCGACAACCUUCAAGUAGGUUAUUCUGUCCCUGUUUGAGCUCUUCCACAUUCAAUUAAAUCCAGCCUUUAAUUUGUGGAAUCAAAUUGGUCUCAGAAAAUUAAAUCCUCGAAGAUUCUGAAAUGCCUUGGGUAUGGUCUUUGACAUUCAAUAUCUGAACCAUCUCACACCAAUCUCUCCUUCUUCGCAAACUCGCCGAAAUUCAAGCUUCGAUGCGAGGUGUUGCGCGUCAUCCGAGUGUCGCUGCCUCCGUGAGCUGAGACCGUCGCUGUGUGCGCAAUAAUGGGCUAACUCAAAAUUCUAGAGCCCUAAAUUGUGAGCCCCAAAUGUUUAGAUUCGAGUUCAUAAUUUCUCUUCAAUUGCUGUAGAAUAUCAUAAUGUGUAAUAAUGAACUUCACUUUGGCUAAUAGCAGUUGGUCAACUCAUUUAUGCUUUGCAGUGCUCUAAAAAAUUGAGAAGUACUAGUUUGAUUUUUUUGCAAGCUUGUUGGAGCUCAUCAGGAGGUCACUUUUCUGGGUAAUUAUUUUGCACAAGUUUUAUGAAAUGCAGGUAUGUUCUAAAGAAGAUUAGGCUGGCAAAGCAAAUUGAGAAAUUCAAGUAGACUGCGCAUCAGGAGGUCACUUUUCUUUUUUGUUAUGUUUUUUCUUGCAAGAUUUUGUGAUUAUUUUGCAUAUUGUUUCUGCUGUGUUGUUUGUAUGUAUGUUGUUAUGGAGUAUCUUAUACAAUUAAUGUAAUGUGUUUAGGUUGGUGAUAGGUGGAAGUCAAAAAAUCAAGCUUGAGAUAAAUUUCUUGAGGUUUUCUAUACGAAAGCUUCAAUGUCACUUUCUCUCUUCUCACCCAACGCACACACCCAGAUCCGCACUCAAAUCAGCGGCGUGGGUGCCGCCGCUCGUCCUUCCUGGCAAAGCAACGGCGAUAAGCCGCUGACGCGCCCGGCUCUCCCUUCUCUCUCUCGGCGGCAUCACCGCCUCAUGUAAUAUUGUUUGAAUGAAUGUAUGAAUUUUUGUGAUGUUGGAUGAAAUUUGUUUGAAUGUAAUAUUGGAUUAAUAUGCUUGAAUGAAUGUAUGGAUUUUU
rnacentral:lncRNA from 1 species